rnacentral:lncRNA from 1 species
UAUUGAAACUUGUUCGAGUAGAAAAUAUGGGAUUUUCUGCGUCGAACCCGUUAGACCGCCAGGAGACUGCUGCUAUAUCUGCCCGUACGACGUGACCGUGCGUAAAGUGAAACCCACCAUACAAAGUAACGUGACAACUAACGGUCACACAACACUGGUUCUUGCGGUAGACGUCAUAUUUAGAUAUACCAGAAGUACGACAGGAGUGAUAGGCGAAUCUCUCUGGCAGUUGUCUGCCUGGAUUGCUCCUGUAAAUCCUACUCACAGUCACACAAUAGGUUACACCGAGCAAGUUCUCAAUGUUGAUCAAGCAUCGCAGAGCUACAUCGAAGGAGAUCAAUUCAUCUUUCGGGACGUCGUGUAUCCGUUCGUUGCUCCCACUUUUAACUGCGACGAGGCCAAGGUCUGUGUUGAGCUUAAACGCGGAAGAAAUGCAGUAACAACACGUCCUUUCCGUUUUAGCAGUUACCCACAAAGCUCUACACCGUUGAUUGGCUGCAUUUCACUAUGUACUGGUAGGAAGUAGGUCAGAGGCCCUGGGUGAAGGGGAGACUGGCAGGGAAUGGGGAGGUUACAAGGCUUUAAGGGUGGGUUAAAUAGUCGGACCUCACCAUACUAUUAGUGUAAAAAUUGUGUACAAGGGCAUGAGCGGUUCUACAUUAUAAUUUGGUGAGGAGGCUUAGGGUUCUUGCAUUAAAUUUCUACACUUUUUUCGGAAGAAAUUCGAAAUCCCGACAGAUUGUAAUGUCUACCAAACGAUUUCGACACAAUAAUUCUAUCGAAUUUUAUAGUAAUUUUACGGAAGGAUUUCUGUGUCAUUUAUUUCUAUACAAAAUAAUUGUAUUGAAAACGAAGCCACUCCACAAAAUAGACCACUUCGUAGUUUUUAUUACAUGAGAUGACUCCAAAUUUCUAAAGAUCUUUUAGUAGUAUUCCUUUCGUGCAUUUUAGUAUAAUCACUGUCAAAGUCAUAAAUGUACAUCAUGAAUAUCUUAUGUUUGCUGUAUUGAGAAUAA